AGGGCCGAGACGGGAGGAGGGCACCCACCUGGUCGGUGUCACAUGCUGCUUCGGCCCCAGCGUCCCCUCCAGGUCCCGGCGCCGGCCGCAGUCCCCAGAGCCGUCCCCAGCGCAGGCCCGGCCGCCCCACCCGCGGCCCGCCCCUGGCCGCCCGACGGGAGGGAGGGAUCGGGUUCUCCUAGGAAGUUUCAGUAUGCAUUCUUAGAAACCAGAUAUACAAAGACAAGAUCUCUGCUUUCAAGAAGCUCUCAAUCUGAUUGAGGAGAGAAACAGGUAGCAAAUAAUGACAGCAGAGCAUGGUCAUUCAACAUUUAUUCAACCAAAAAUACUAAGUCAGCUCUAUACAAACUAAUGGAAGGAUACAGCUAUGCAAAUACAGAAGAACACUAAACUGUUACAUGACAGAUGUAUGAGAACUGGGAAGAAAGGACCCUGAAAAGUUAGCUUGUUCCAAGUGACCCUCCAAGGGGAAGAGUGCUGGAUUCAGAGCCCACCUCAGGGGAAGACAGGACGCUCUCCAAGAUGGUUUCCCUAGAAGCUACUACCUCUCCCUGGAGGGUGGAGAUAUUUGCUGGUCAAAG
rnacentral:antisense_RNA from 1 species